rnacentral:rRNA from 1 species
AUGUUAAAGAUAAGCCAUGCACGUCUAAGUACAAACUAAAUGAUGGUGAAACUGCAAAUGGCUCAUUACAACGGUUAUGAUGUACCCGGGAGUUCCGAUGGAUAUUUCCAGUAACACUAGAACUAAUACAUGUCCCUGCGUUUAUUAGUUUCGCACAGUCCGUCGCUGAGUCAUGGUAAACAGUUGAUCGACUCGACGUCCCGGAACAGUUUCCGCCCCAUCAGCUUCGAUGGUUGGGUAUUGGCCUACCAUUGCAACAACGGGUAACGAGGAAUUAGGGUUUGAUUUCGGAGAGGGAGCCUGAGAAACGGCUACCACAUCUACGGAUGGCAGCAGGCGCGCAAAUUACCCAAUGCAGACACUGUGAGGUAGUGACGAGAAAUAAUAAAGCGGGACUUCUGUUUCGCUAUUAUAAUGAGGAAUAACCAAAGGUCAUUCCGAUUAGCAACUGAUGGGAAAGUCUGGUGCCAGCAGCCGCGGUAAUACCAGCGUCAGUAGCA